GAUGAACGCUGGCGGCGUGCCUAAUACAUGCAAGUCGAGCGAACAGACGAGGAGCUUGCUCCUCUGACGUUAGCGGCGGACGGGUGAGUAACACGUGGAUAACCUACCUAUAAGACUGGGAUAACUUCGGGAAACCGGAGCUAAUACCGGAUAAUAUAUUGAACCGCAUGGUUCAAUAGUGAAAGACGGUUUUGCUGUCACUUAUAGAUGGAUCCGCGCCGCAUUAGCUAGUUGGUAAGGUAACGGCUUACCAAGGCAACGAUGCGUAGCCGACCUGAGAGGGUGAUCGGCCACACUGGAACUGAGACACGGUCCAGACUCCUACGGGAGGCAGCAGUAGGGAAUCUUCCGCAAUGGGCGAAAGCCUGACGGAGCAACGCCGCGUGAGUGAUGAAGGUCUUCGGAUCGUAAAACUCUGUUAUUAGGGAAGAACAAAUGUGUAAGUAACUAUGCACGUCUUGACGGUACCUAAGCAGAAAGCCACGGCAAACUACGU
rnacentral:rRNA from 1 species